rnacentral:rRNA from 1 species
CGAACGCUGGCGGCGCGUUUUAAGCAUGCAAGUCGGAGGGUAGUAUAGAGCUUGCUCUAUAUGAGACUGGCGCACGGGUGAGUAACACGUGAGAAUCUGCCUGGAGAUGGGGGAUAGCCUAUGGAAACAUAGGGUAAUACCGCAUAUGCCUUAGGGUGAAAGAUGCUUUUGCAUCGUCUUCAGAUGAGCUCGCGGUCCAUUAGCUUGUUGGUGGGGUAAUAGCCUACCAAGGCGACGAUGGAUAGCCGGCCUGAGAGGGUGAUCGGCCACAUUGGGACUGAGACACGGCCCAGACUCCUACGGGAGGCAGCAGCUAAGAAUCUUCCGCAAUGGGAGCAAUCCUGACGGAGCGACGCCGCGUGGAUGACGAAGGCGGAAACGUUGUAAAGUCCUUUUAUACGGGAAGAAUAAUGUAUUGCAGAGAAAGCAUUACAGAUGACGGUACCGUAUGAAUAAGCCUCGGCUAACUAC